AUUGAACGCUGGCGGCAGGCCUAACACAUGCAAGUCGAACGAGUGGCGGACGGGUGAGUAAUGUCUGGGAAACUGCCUGAUGGAGGGGGAUAACUACUGGAAACGGUAGCUAAUACCGCAUACCAUCAGAUGGGCCCAUCUGGGAUUAGCUAGUUGGUGGGGUAACGGCUCACCAAGGCGAUGAUCCCUAGCGGGUAUGAGAGGAUGAUCAGCCACACUGGAACUGAGAAACGGUCCAGACUCCUACGUGAGGCAGCAGUGUGGAAUAUUGCACAAUGGGCGCAAGCCUGAUGCAUCCAUGCCGCGUGUAUGAAGAAGGCCUUCGGGUUUUAAAGUACUUUCAGCGGGGAGGCGUUACCCGCAGAAGAAGCACCGGCUAACUCCGUGCCAGCAGCCGCGGUAAUUC
rnacentral:rRNA from 1 species